rnacentral:lncRNA from 1 species
CGCAGGGAGAGCUCGGAGAUCGCGCCGACCUGGGUCCCUAUCCAAGCCCCUAGUAUUUUCGAACAAGUGUGUUCCUCUCUGGCCCCGUCUCCUCCGAGGUGAUCAAGCAGAAUGCGUUCGCGGGGCUGGAUUGAGUGAAAUCUGAGAGACAGCGCGCCCGCCCUCGAUAGGCGCGCAGCAAAUGGGGAGCCCCUCCGCCCCUCAGUCUCCUUGUCUGUGAAAUGGGAACUGAGUCGAGGAUGGUGGGGAACCCAGCAGCCCAGGGACCGCGGUGAGGGGCGGCGGGCGAGGGGCACCCUCCCUCCUUCGGGCCCCUGCUUCCCAGCCGGCACCGCCCCCUCCCGGGUGCCGGGGCCGCGAGUUAGCCAGUGCGCAUGCCCGGGGCGGGGCGCCGGGCGGGACGCGGGAGCCGCGCUGGGGACGGCGGCGCGGAGUCCGCGGGUCCGCCCGCCAGCCCGGCCCGAGGCAGCCGAGGCCGCUCGGGCGGCGGUGGCGGGAGCCGGAGCGCAGCUCACCGAGGAGACGAAGCGACGGCACCGCUGGGCUCUCUGUCCUUACCCUGGACCUGAUCCCACAUCAGAGAAUUGUGAGCUGAAAACUCAGAAGCCAGCCUCUUCCGGGGGGCUUUCAGAAGGAGCAUGUGGCCAGCUGGGCCAUGCCUGCUUCUCGGAACCCCAAUUUCUUCCUCUGGAAAAUAAGAACACAACACCUGCCUGGAAAGCGUACGGGAUCGGCACAUAAGAAGUAUAAACCAGACAGCAGCCUGGGGCCCAAGCAUGAAGGCAAUUGGGCAGUGCUGAAGACCCAGCCUGGCUCCAGCUGCUUCAAAAGGACUCCAGACCCCCAGAAUCCCAGCCCACAACCCUCUGCUGCCCACAAGAUGGGAGCC